GCAUAAUCAUUUGCCUUUUAAUUGGUGGCUAGUAUGAAUGGAUAAACGAAAAUCUAACUGUCUCCCUAAAAUAUAUAAAAAUUAGCCUUCAGAUGAAACAAUCUGAAUAAAAUUAAAGGACAAGAAGACCCUACAGAGCCUAACCUUAACGUUUAAAAAAAGAAAAAAAGAAUAACCCAUAAGGUUUAGUUGGGGCAACUAAAAACCAUCAAAAGAGAUUUUUAUUUAAUAAAGACUAACAUAUCUAUUUCCAUGACCCAAUUUUUGAUCACAGGAAAAGGCUACCUUAGGGAUAACAGACUAAUCUCCUUUAAAAGCUCAAAUUUACAAGGAGGGUUGGCACCUCGAUGUUGGCUUAGGAACUCUAGGGGUGCAGCAGCCCCUAAAGAUAGGUUUGUUCAACCUUUAAA
rnacentral:rRNA from 1 species